UCCUGGAAUGCCGUAUGUUUAGAACUUACA
rnacentral:piRNA from 1 species